AACGAACGCUGGCGGCAUGCCUAACACAUGCAAGUCGAACGAAGGCUUCGGCCUUAGUGGCGCACGGGUGCGUAACGCGUGGGAACCUGCCCCUUGGUUCGGAAUAACACAGAGAAAUUUGUGCUAAUACCGGAUAAUGACUUCGGUCCAAAGAUUUAUCGCCGAGGGAUGGGCCCGCGUAGGAUUAGCUUGUUGGUGAGGUAACGGCUCACCAAGGCGACGAUCCUUAGCUGGUCUGAGAGGAUGAUCAGCCACACUGGGACUGAGACACGGCCCAGACUCCUACGGGAGGCAGCAGUGGGGAAUAUUGGACAAUGGGCGAAAGCCUGAUCCAGCAAUGCCGCGUGAGUGAUGAAGGCCUUAGGGUUGUAAAGCUCUUUUACCCGGGAUGAUAAUGACAGUACCGGGAGAAUAAGCUCCGGCUAACUCCGUGCCAGCCGCCGCCGCGG
rnacentral:rRNA from 1 species